UACGGGGGGGGCAAGCGUUGUCCGGAAUUACUGGGCGUAAAGGGCUCGUAGGUGGCCAACUAAGUCAGACGUGAAAUCCCUCAGCUUAACUGGGGAACUGCGUCUGAUACUGGAUGGCUUGAGUUUGGGAGAGGGAUGCGGAAUUCCAGGUGUAGCGGUGAAAUGCGUAGAUAUCUGGAGGAACACCGGUGGCGAAGGCGGCAUCCUGGACCAACACUGACACUGAGGAGCGAAAGCCAGGGGAGCAAACGGG
rnacentral:rRNA from 1 species